rnacentral:rRNA from 1 species
AGAAUCAACGCUGGCGGCGUGCCUAACACAUGCAAGUCGAACGCGAAAGUCCCGAAAGGGAUGAGUAGAGUGGCAAACGGGUGAGUAACGCGUGGGUGACCUGCCUUCGAGUGGGGGAUAACGUCUCGAAAGGGACGCUAAUACCGCAUAAAAUGCCGCCUUUUAAGAGGUGGACAUCAAAGCCUGGGACCGCAAGGCCAGGCGCUUGACGAGGGGCCCGCGUCUGAUUAGCUAGUUGGUGGGGUAAUGGCUCACCAAGGCAACGAUCAGUA